rnacentral:lncRNA from 1 species
GGAGCAGGGGCCAGCGACCCACGUCUACAUGCAUACUUCUCUUACACUGCUGCUACUGGAAAAGCUGAACCCCGCGCCAGGACCCCAGCCCCCUGCAAGGACCCGUGAGCGUCUGGGAAGCUGUCUCUGGGACUGAAGCCCCCCACCUCCGCCGGGCUGGCGGCCACUGCGGUACCCUACGCCCCGUCGGGCUGGUCCUGCACAAUUUGGGAAAAAGCCGCAGCGCUUCUGCAAGGUCUACGUGGCCAUGAGCAUGCAACGCUUGGCUCCAAAAAAGACACGAAAGGAGCAAAGCGCCAACGACCACCCGAUCGGAGGGCCCGAGGGGCGCCUCUUCACCAGUCAGCUGCAGCUUAAGUUCCGUGCAUUAUCUGAAAGGAACAGCUGGCUGGAGGUAUCCAGGGCUGUCACUCCAACCUCUGCAGCAGUGACCUCAACUCCCAGCACUUCAAAACCCAGACAGAAACGUCCAACAAACUCCCAGUCCAGGAGCGCUGCAAAACCAACGCCAGUCUAGUUUGGGGUCUCUAUAAUCCUGCUCCUUUGGCUGCCAGCCAUCUCCAUAAAAAAAGAAUUUGAAAGGCUUCCAUUCUUUCAGAGACCUGUUUCCCGGGACUGGCUGCAAGGGAGAGAUGCACUGACCUUCUGCCAGGUAUAGAACUAUUGAAUGGUACAGUUUGAGAUCUUCGAAACCAUCAGGACUGAUCAUUUUCUGGCUACUUUCUACAUAGGAAUCCUAGAGUUCCUUGGAGAGGAUAUGAAGGUUAUUCUCAGGCCAUGCAGAUGGGCAAGAAAGGAUGUGCGUCCAUGGUUCCUCUUCAAAUCCAACCAAAACAGCCUUGCUUCCGUUGGCUUUAUAUAAUACUGCAACUCUUGAUAAUCUGAUUUAACACAAAUUUCCUCAUUGAGUUUCUCCUCAUGAAGAAACGGCCUCAGUGAGGUAAAUCGGAAUGCACAGGAGCACAUAGCAGGCUGGAGUGUAGUGGUAUGAUCACAGCUCACUGCAGCCUCGAACUCCUGGACUCAAACAAUCCUCCUGUCUCAGCCUCCAGAGCAACUGGGAGUACAGGUGUGUGCCACCAUGCCUGACUAAGUUUUUAAAUUUUUUGUAGAGAUGGGGUCUUGCUAUAUUGACCAGGCUGGUCUUGAACUUCUGGCCUCAAGAAAUCCUCCCACCUGGGCCUCCCAGAGUGCUGGGAUUACAGGAAUGCACCACUGUGCCCAGCCCUAAAUAACUAUUUUUAUUUCCCUUUCUGUAACCGCUCAUCUUUUGUGCAUUUUUCCUUGGGUAUUGGCCUUCUUAUCAAAGUUUAAGAACUGUUUAUAUAUAGGGAUUAACCCUUAGUCUGUUGUAUGAAUUGCAAAUAUACAUGUAUUUUUAUUUGUAUAUGCAAAGUUUGUCUUUUAUCUUUGUAUAUGGGAUAGUUUUCCAAACACAGUUUUAUUUUAUUUUAUUUUUCAUCUUGCAUGUCUUUCCAAAGUACCAAGCAGAGUUUUUUUAAAAGUUGUUUUAUGGCUUCUGGGUUUUUUAAGUCAUAUUUAGAAAGAUCUUUCCCACUCUGAAAUUAAAAAAAUAAAUAAAUAAAAUCUCCCAA